rnacentral:rRNA from 1 species
UUUAUUGGAGAGUUUGAUCCUGGCUCAGGAUGAACGCUGGCGGCGUGCCUAAUACAUGCAAGUCGAGCGAAUGGAUUAAGAGCUUGCUCUUAUGAAGUUAGCGGCGGACGGGUGAGUAACACGUGGGUAACCUGCCCAUAAGACUGGGAUAACUCCGGGAAACCGGGGCUAAUACCGGAUAACAUUUUGAACCGCAUGGUUCGAAAUUGAAAGGCGGCUUCGGCUGUCACUUAUGGAUGGACCCGCGUCGCAUUAGCUAGUUGGUGAGGUAACGGCUCACCAAGGCAACGAUGCGUAGCCGACCUGAGAGGGUGAUCGGCCACACU